UGUCGUUCUAGAGAGACGCCACUGGAGGGCGCGAGAGUCCGCAAGCGAAAGACAGCGCGCCAAGCCUGUGUGGACGUGGUCCUCCUGUGGAGGCGCAGGAGGGCCGGACGCUCACGGUUUCGACGGCAACCCCUGCGUCCCGAGCUUCUCUGGGUCCUCCUGAGAUUCUUUCAUUGAUUCACAAGAGGGAGAUUAGAAGACCUGCUUUCUCAAUCUCCCACAUCUAAAGAUGCUGAAAAAUAUGAUAUUGACAUCAAUAUCAGAGGAUUCUGAGUCAGGCCUAACAUGCUUAUCAUCUGGCACAAAGAGGUCACUUAGAUUGAUGGAAUCAAUGCAUGCAUGGGCUUGAUGUGACCUUAUUC